GUUAAAGCCAAAACGCUCCUUGC
rnacentral:siRNA from 1 species